CUAUCGCCAGAGUACUACGAGCCACAGCUUAAAACUCAAAAGACUUGGCGGCGCCCCAUACCCCCUAGAGGAGCCUGUUCUGUAAUCGAUAUUCCCCGAUAAACCUCACCACCUCUCGUUAACACAGCCUAUAUACCACCGUCCUCAGCUUACCCUUCAAAGGGAGAAUAGUAAGCAAAAUCAUUUUAAAUAAAAAAGUCAGGUCAAGGUGUAGCAAAUGAGGCGGAAAGAAAUGGGCUACAUUUUCUAUUAUAGAAUAUACAGAAUGUUUUAUGAAAUAUGACAUGAAGGAGGAUUUAGAAGUAAAAGGAAAAAAGAGUGUUCUUUUUAAAUCGGCAAUAGAGCGCGCACACACCGCCCGUCACCCUCCUUACACACAAAAAAAUUAAAUAAAUAUUAAUAUAACAAAAGGAGAUAAGUCGUAACAUGGUAAGCCUACCGGAAGGUGGACUUGGAUAUCAGAAUAUAGCUUAAUUAAAGCAUUUUGCUUACAUCAAAAAAAUAUUUAUUAAAAUAAGUUAUUCUGAGUCUUAAUUAUAGCCUACAUAUAUAUUUAUUCUAAUUAACAAAAUUGGGCUUCGUUACCCCAAU
rnacentral:misc_RNA from 1 species